rnacentral:misc_RNA from 1 species
CAAGAAUCGAGGCUGACGGUGCCUACUCCCUAGGCUCCGUCCAGUCCCGCUCUCUACCCUUGCCUACUGCACCGUUUGUUGCUUCCUGGCGGCGUCCCCGUCGCCAGGGGCCUUUUGAAAAGCCAAGUAUAAGCAUUGAAAACUUCUGACAUACACUAAAUCGUA